AGGACACACAGAGCUUAACGGGGAGGAUGAUAUACUCCCUCACUGAACACACCAUUUUUCUCCUUCUUUUUUCUUCACAAUUGAGGCAAGACGUGCACGUUCUCAGUACAUAUACGUACACAGACACACAUUGAGAUUGAGAGAGGUGAGGAGGAGAAGAAAAUGAGCAGAGAAGGGAACUGAUCUAGAUUGAGAAAAAAAUAGUAAAGAUUGAAGGCCGAUUUAGUAGAAAAUGGUGUGAGAGAAGAAAAGGAUGAAUGAAGGGGUAGAUCGGGAAUAGGAGGUCAAAAAUGGAGUGUUG
rnacentral:lncRNA from 1 species